rnacentral:rRNA from 1 species
GGCUCAGAACGAACGCUGGCGGCGUGCCUAACACAUGCAAGUCGAGCGAGAAAGCCCGCAAGGGUGAGUACAGCGGCGCACGGGUGCGUAACACGUGGGUAAUCUGCCCUGGAACCCGGAAUAACCUCCCGAAAGGGAAGCUAAUACCGGAUAAGACCACGGGAGCCUCGGCUCCUGCGGGAAAAGGUGGCCUCUGCAUGCAAGCUAUCAUUUCAGGAUGAGCCCGCGGCCCAUCAGCUCGUUGGCGGGGUAACGGCCCACCAAGGCUACGACGGGUAGCUGGUCUGAGAGGACGAUCAGCCACACUGGAACUGAGACACGGUCCAGACUCCUACGGGAGGCAGCAGUGGGGAAUCUUGCGCAAUGGGCGAAAGCCUGACGCAGCAACGCCGCGUGUGUGAUGAAGGUCUUCGGAUCGUAAAGCACUGUCGGGAGGGACGAAUAAGGGCCAGGUGAACAAUCUGGUCCGAUGACGGUACCUCCAAAGGAAGCACCGGCUAACUCUGUGCCAGCAGCCGCGGUAAUACAGAGGGUGCAAGCGUUGUUCGGAAUUAUUGGGCGUAAAGCGCGUGUAGGCGGUCUCGCAAGUCGGAUGUGAAAGCCCUCGGCUUAACCGAGGAAGUGCGUUCGAAACUACGAGACUUGAGUGCCGGAGAGGGUGGCGGAAUUCCCGGUGUAGAGGUGAAAUUCGUAGAUAUCGGGAGGAACACCAGUGGCGAAGGCGGCCACCUGGACGGUAACUGACGCUGAGACGCGAAAGCGUGGGGAGCAAACAGGAUUAGAUACCCUGGUAGUCCACGCUGUAAACGAUGAGCGCUAGGUGUUGUGGGUGUUGACCCCCGCAGUGCCGCAGCUAACGCAUUAAGCGCUCCGCCUGGGAAGUACGGCCCGCAGGCUAA